rnacentral:rRNA from 1 species
GAUGAACGCUGGCGGCGUGCCUAAUACAUGCAAGUCGAGCGAACAGACGAGGAGCUUGCUCCUCUGACGUUAGCGGCGGACGGGUGAGUAACACGUGGAUAACCUACCUAUAAGACUGGGAUAACUUCGGGAAACCGGAGCUAAUACCGGAUAACAUGUUGAACCGCAUGGUUCAACAGUGAAAGACGGUCUUGCUGUCACUUAUAGAUGGAUCCGCGCCGCAUUAGCUAGUUGGUAAGGUAACGGCUUACCAAGGCAACGAUGCGUAGCCGACCUGAGAGGGUGAUCGGCCACACUGGAACUGAGACACGGUCCAGACUCCUACGGGAGGCGGCAGUAGGGAAUCUUCCGCAAUGGGCGAAAGCCUGACGGAGCAACGCCGCGUGAGUGAAGAAGGUCUUCGGAUCGUAAAACUCUGUUAUUAGGGAAGAACAAAUGUGUAAGUAACUAUGCACGUCUUGACGGUACCUAAUCAGAAAGCCACGGCUAACUACGUG